UACAGUGUAUCGCGUGCGCGAGAGGAUAAAACCGCUGCGAUAUCAGGUUACAAGUAUCAUCAUAAACAAACCUGACACCCUCCAUUCAUUUAGGCGCUUCUAAUCUAUAGUUCAUUAAAUCUGCGCACUUGUUUUAUCCGAUUCCUCCGAGUCAUCAGAUCCGGAUGAUGCGCUCCCCGGCGUGCUAAGGUGGCUGGGCGGUCCUGACUGUCUCCUACGUCGGAAAGGCUUCUAAUUGGCUUAAAAGUGACGUCAUCAUUUCUCGCUGGCUCGCGGGACAGUGAGCGCCAAGACUUUGCAAACCCGCUCGUAUUUGAGAUUCCCGGUAUCCUUUACCGGUUUCGAAGGUAUAAAUAGCAAGCGAUACAUCUCGGCCUCAUUUUGACCAAGUAUGGCGGCUUUCCAGUGAUUUCAUGGCAAACGGUGAGUAAAUUUCGAACUAGCGCCUGCUUACUUGCUCGUUUCUAUGAGAGAACACGGAACUCACCGACCUCGACAUAUUUAAUUCCUGCUUUUUUUAACGCCUAGAGAACCCAUCUUUUGAGGAAUCCCCGGAAAUUUCGAUGUGCUCGCAGUUUUCGGCUAAUGCUCGCAUGCUCGCCCAUUUUUCCCGCCGUGCUCGCAUUGUAUUUUUCCAUGUGCUAGCUGCUCGAUUUAUUCAACAACUAAAAAUGCUCGGUCUCGCAUAAAAAACGGGGUGCUCGCAAGUGCUCACCAAAGACCAUUCAAAGGCCCUCAUAUAAGAUCAUGCAUCCUCUAGGGGUGGCGGAGCUGGCUUUUUUAAAGGGCUCAAGAAAAAAUUCAGAGAAACAAAUUUGCAUUGCGUAUGAAUAAAAAAGUUGGUACACAGAGAGGUCUGGGGGCAUGCUUCUAUUUUCAGGGAAAGAGUAAGACAAGACUAUCGACGAAAGCAUUGAAGCUAGAUGCCCUUAUAUGGCCAUCGGUUAAGAUAUACAGAAAAUAUUACCAGAAAACCAUCAGAACGAGGAGCUACGCAAUCCGCCCUUUCCCUUGAUGCACCCUUAAUUCCUUAUCUUGUUGAGUUGUCAUCUUAUCAGUUUAUAUUAACUGAUAAGAGUGGAGUUCUUAGACGCAUUGUAGGAACAAUUAGCACAAAAUAACUAAACAAAAGUGUACCAGUAGCAUCCUCCCCAUUUUUCAAUUGUUUGAUUUUUGUUCAUUUUAGUGAAAGUCAUUGCAUAAUGAAAAGUCUUUUUCACAUAAGAGACGGCCGGAACUCAGUGGCUAUAAAUUCUCGAAGGGUGCGUGGAAAAAUAUUGGUAGAACCAACUAAACGCUCUUUGCGUGCGUUUUUGUUUUUGCAAGAAUAGAGUUUGUCUUUAUCAGAUUCUGCUUUUUUGAUAACUGGCAGCAGAGGAAACUAAAUAUCUGGUGAUUUGCGUGGAAAGUGUUAAAGAUGUGAAUAAAUGGUCACAGCACUAGAACUCACUACGCGAGAGGAGCCACACGCUCCAUCUAGAUUUCGCUCCUAAGGCAAAAUCUAGAUGGCAAGCAUACGAAGGGAGCCACACGGGUUAAGGCGAGUUCUAGAUGGCAAGCAUACGAGGGGAGCCGUACGAGUUAAGGCGAGUUCUGGAUGGCAAGUAUGCAAAGGGAGCCACACGGGUUAAGGCGAGUUCUAGAUGGCAAGCAUACGAGGGGAGCCGUACGAGUUAAGGCGAGUUCUAGAUGGCAAGCAUACGAGGGGAGCCGUACGAGUUAAGACGAGUUCUAGAUGGCAAGUAUACGAAGGGAGCCACACGAGUUAAGGCGAGUUCUAGAUGGCAAUCAUACGAGGGGAGCCACACGGGUUAAGGCGAGUUCUAGAUGGCAAGUAUGCAAAGGGAGCCACACGAGUUAAGGCGAGUUCUAGAUGGCAAUCAUACGAGGGGAGCCACACGGGUUAAGGCGAGUUCUAGAUGGCAAUCAUACGAAGGGAGCCACACGAGUUAAGGCGAGUUCUAGAUGGCAAGUAUGCAAAAGGAGCCACACGAGUUAAGGCGAGUUCUAGAUGGCAAGUAUGCGAAGGGAGCCAUAUUUUAAGGGAUCAUUAAAGGUCCUUCUAGCAAUGGUUAAACGUACCUGUAUACUCCGAGAGGAAAUCCCCAGCAAACGAGCGAGUUGUCCGCAGGUUGACGCAUCAAUAUAUGCAGAUGAUGAGAACGUCUCGUUCAAAACUUGCGUUUGGUAGGGUGUAAAUCGAGUGCGGGUGAUUUGAGAGUUGGCCCGAUUAUUCAUCCUCAUAUUCUCUCCAUAUGAAUUCUCGUCUUCUGUAAAGAAAAAGAAGCGAUGUUUAGAGAUAAGUGUAGAUUCUCACUUUUGCUUUAAACUCUUAAGAACAUGAUUAUCUAUACAAGUCAAUUGCUUCCAUCGACUUCUCACGGUUUUGUUUUGCUGAGACGACUAUAGACCACAAAA